CGUUCUAGGAUUGACGUAAUGAUUAAUAGGGAUAGUCGGGGGCAUUGUAUUCAAUUGUCAGAGGUGAAAUUCUUGGAUUUAUGAAGACAACUACUGCGAAAGCAUUUGCCAAGGAUGUUUUCAUUAAUCAAGAACGAAAGUUAGGGGAUCGAAGACGAUCAGAUACCGUCGUAGUCUUAACCAUAAACUAUGCCGACUAGGGAUCGGACGAUGUUAAUUUUUAAUGACUCG
rnacentral:rRNA from 1 species